rfam:Alligator sinensis unplaced genomic scaffold scaffold138_1, whole genome shotgun sequence
ACUGACAUAACAGCCACAGUAGAAGCACUCACGUUGUGGCCCUGUCAGAUUCUAGUGAAUCUGCAAAUUCUGCU